AGCGAACGCUGGCGGCAGGCCUAACACAUGCAAGUCGAACGAACCUUUCGGGGUUAGUGGCGGACGGGUGAGUAACACGUGGGAACGUGCCUUUAGGUUCGGAAUAACUCAGGGAAACUUGUGCUAAUACCGAAUGUGCCCUUCGGGGGAAAGAUUUAUCGCCUUUAGAGCGGCCCGCGUCUGAUUAGCUAGUUGGUUGAGGUAAUGGCUCACCAAGGCGACGAUCAGUAGCUGGUCUGAGAGGAUGAUCAGCCACAUUGGGACUGAGACACGGCCCAAACUCCUACGGGAGGCAGCAGUGGGGAAUCUUGCGCAAUGGGCGAAAGCCUGACGCAGCCAUGCCGCGUGAAUGAUGAAGGUCUUAGGAUUGUAAAAUUCUUUCACCGGGGACGAUAAUGACGGUACCCGGAGAAGGAGCCCCGGCGAACUUC
rnacentral:rRNA from 1 species